rnacentral:SRP_RNA from 1 species
GCCUAGCUCAGUAAUGUGAGCUUGUAACCCAAAUGGGGGCAUUAAUGUGGUGGAAUGUUAGGCAAUCCCAGAUGGUUGGGCUUGGUGGGCUAAUUUCUGGCCUGCCCUGUCCAAGCACCGAGUUGGAUCACGGGGCCUAAUCGAAAGAAUGGGCUUCUUGAUUCCUAAAGAGGGUCGGAUUGCGUAAGGCUGGUUUCACAGAGCAACAAAUAAUUCCCGCUCUGUGCAAUGGAAGGACAACGGGCUAGUGCUGGUCAAGUCCAGUAACGCCUGAUGGGCAGCUCUAAUUAAACCACCGCUUUA